rnacentral:misc_RNA from 1 species
UGGUUCUGGCAUCGAUGAAGAACGCAGCGAAAUGCGAUAAGUAAUGUGAAUUGCAGAAUUCAGUGAAUCAUCGAAUCUUUGAACGCACAUUGCGCCCCUUGGUAUUCCGAGGGGCAUGCCUGUCCGAGCGUCAGUUCAACAAUCAAGCCCCGCUUGGUGUUGGGCCCGCGGCCGGCCCCCAGUGGCCAGGCCCGCCCGAAACGCAUCGGCGAGGAGACCGACCCCCGGCGUCUUGAGAAUCUCACGGUUCGCACGUCGGGAGCACCGGUGGCCUCCGCCGCAACCCCAUGAAUUCAUUCAAAGGUUGACCUCGGAUCAGGUAGGGAUACCCGCUGA